AGUAAAAGUCGUAACAAGGUUUCCGUAGGUGAACCUGCGGAAGGAUCAUUAAAGAGUAAGGGUGCUCAGCGCCCGACCUCCAACCCUUUGUUGUUAAAACUACCUUGUUGCUUUGGCGGGACCGCUCGGUCUCGAGCCGCUGGGGAUUCGUCCCAGGCGAGCGCCCGCCAGAGUUAAACCAAACUCUUGUUAUUAAACCGGUCGUCUGAGUUAAAAUUUUGAAUAAAUCAAAACUUUCAACAACGGAUCUCUUGGUUCUCGCAUCGAUGAAGAACGCAGCGAAAUGCGAUAAGUAAUGUGAAUUGCAGAAUUCAGUGAAUCAUCGAAUCUUUGAACGCACAUUGCGCCCCUUGGUAUUCCGAGGGGCAUGCCUGUUCGAGCGUCAUUACACCACUCAAGCUAUGCUUGGUAUUGGGUGCCGUCCUUCACUGGGCGCGCCUUAAAGACCUCGGCGAGGCCUCACCGGCUUUAGGCGUAGUAGAAUUUAUUCGAACGUCUGUCAAAGGAGAGGACUUCUGCCGACUGAAACCUUUUAUUUUUCUAGGUUGACCUCGGAUCAGGUAGGGAUACCCGCUGAACUUAAGCAUAUCAAUAAGCGGAGGA
rnacentral:rRNA from 1 species